CGAUAACGAAUUUAUUUUGAAAAAAGAAAUUUACGACGAGCUAUUUAGGGAGUAGAGAAAUUACCUAUAGUAGAAUAUAAUAUACAACAAUAUAAAUAUGUAGCCUCUGAGACUUUCCAAUGAUUGCUUGUCUCUGACUCCAUUUUGAAACUUAUUAAGAGAGGGGUUGAAUUCGUAGUUUCCUACUUCUAGUCAAAAAUUUUCAUUUACGGUUGAAACUUCUUCCCGUUAACUUCGUAAAAUUGAAUUUUCUAUAUUCCGGAAUUUAGUUCAAUGAACAUGGCUCAAUCAUUAAUUAACGUUAUCAAAAUUUUCUUGCCAAUAAUAAUCAGUGGCAAUGUGCUCGUAUCAGCUUGUUUUGGUGUUUCAUCAGUAAGACGUUCGUCAUCGAAUGUUCCGGUAUAUAAACAUCCGCAUGGUUUCGAUCGUUCUGUAGCCGACGUGGUUCGUCUCCACGAUGCUAUUAUCAAUCAUGAUCGAAAUGAAAUAAUCGAUAUUUUUAUUGCCAAGAACCUGAACAAUCGACAAUCUUUGCACGAAGAAUAUUUAAAUACGUAUGGAUCUGAAUUGAGGUGUCUUUGCUGAUCAAAAUUAUCCGGAGAUUUUGGACACCUCAUAACAUCUUUGGCAACACCGCCCUUGGUUUUUCUUGCCAAUGAACUUCAUUAUUUUUUACAACCAUUUAAUCGCGAUUACAGUACUCUUGAGGAAAUUUUGCGGUAUCACAACCACGAUAGGAUUAAAGAAGCUUACCAAUCAGAGUAUGGAGUUGAGGUGACGGAACAUUUCAAAAAAUUACCUCAUUCUGUACGACAACGUCUUGAACGUUUUUCACUCCUAAUUGAUGAGACUUAUCAUUCAGGCAGCAUUGAUGACCAGGCUAAUUACUAUCGUAUAAAGUUAGUAGAAGCUAUAAACAAAUUAGACGCACGUCAUUUUACACGUUUAAUUGUAAUGAUUUUGAACGAUGGAAUACUUGAUCAAGUCAAAAUGAGUUAUACACAGGUUUAUGGUAAACCACUUAGGAGCCUAGUAGAUGAAGUUUUCAAAGGAGAUUACCUCGAAGCGAUGUCAGCACUUCUUUUUACCCCUAUGCCUUACGGAGAUGAUAUUCUGCCCCCCUCUCAUUAUUAGGAGAAAAUAAUACCAAGCUAUUCAAUUUGACGAUAAUUAAUUGUGCAGAAUUUAAUUUUAUAUUUUAAUAAAUAAUUAUGAGACUUUUAGUAGAAAUUAAACUUUCAAUCGAACAAAUCGACUGUAACUUUUUUAAAUAAACAAUGAUU